GACGAACGCUGGCGGCGUGCUUAACACAUGCAAGUCGAACGGAAAGGCCCUGCUUUUGUGGGGUGCUCGAGUGGCGAACGGGUGAGUAACACGUGAGUAACCUGCCCUUGACUUUGGGAUAACUUCAGGCAACUGGGGCUAAUACCGGAUAGGAGCUCCUGCUGCAUGGUGGGGGUUGGAAAGUUUAGGCGGUUGGGGAUGGACUCGCGGCUUAUCAGCUUGUUGGUGGGGUAGUGGCUUACCAAGGCUUUGACGGGUAGCCGGCCUGAGAGGGUGACCGGCCACAUUGGGACUGAGAUACGGCCCAGACUCCUACGGGAGGCAGCAGUGGGGAAUAUUGCACAAUGGGCGGAAGCCUGAUGCAGCAACGCCGCGUGCGGGAUGACGGCAUUCGGGUUGUAAACCGCUUUCGCUUGUGACGAAGCGUGAGUGACGGUAAUGGGUAAAGAAGCACCGGCUAACUACGUG
rnacentral:rRNA from 1 species